AUACUUACCUGGAUGGGGUCUAUGGAUGAUCAUGAAGGUCCAUGGCCUAGGAUGGUGGCCUCCAUUGCACAUUAGGAGGGGUGCCACCCUAAGAUCUCCCCAAGUGGGAGAGUCUACAUCAUAAUUUGUUGCAGAGGGGGCUUGCGUUCGCGCAGCCCCUG